AUGUAUAGAUCUUAAACAGAGAGUACAUCUCCAGUUGUGAAUAUCUAUAAUUGUUUUAAUGAAAACAUGAAAAUAUUUUAAAGAAAACCUCUGUUUAUCCAUAGUAUACAAAUAACAUAUGUUGCAGAUAGAACAAAAACCAUGACUUUCGCAACAUGUCCCACAGAGGGGAAGUGCUAAGGAAUGAUAUAUUUGACAGAGAUCGUGCUGUUAUUUUCUCACGCGUGGUACUAACUUGAAUUGCUUCAGAAAUUACCCAUCUGUAUAAUAAAUGAUUAAAUGAUAAAUAUAAAAAUAUAAUGCAGUACAGGUUUUGCUUACGGCACCUAAUGCAGCCUUUAUUGCUUUAUUUAAAUACAGCGGUGCAGACUUCACCAGCCAAGCCUGUCACCAUUGAGUCCAGUGUUGCUGGAGUGUGGGCUGUGAUCCGGUGGAUUCUCCUCUCCCUGAUGUUGGCUUGUUUUUUCACGGUCACCUGGUGGAAGAGGAGCACUUGCAGAAAGUCGGUGCCCGCUGCUGCACACACCCUGCAGGGGUCAGACUCAACGCGCUCCCAUGUCUCAUCUCAUUGUGCACCCAGGUCGUCCCCCAUGGAACUGAGAUGAACUUUGGCUCAGAUGCAUCGAUUUGCAGUCUGACAUUGACCCAGGGCAAAGUACAGUUUUGGUUUUCAAUCUGUGUACAACUGAAUUUUUAUAUAAAAGAGACUGGUAACCGUUUCUAAACAUCACCUGUCACCUGUACAUGUACUCUUUGCAUUGUGUUGUGGUUAUAGCAUCAUAAUUUGGUUUUGCUAUUCUAAAUCACUUGGAUAUUAUAUUGUGUUGUGUCAAUCACAUGAUGAAAAAUGGAGGUAAGAGACUGCUAAGGGCUUCCUUUGCGAUUGUACAUAUUAAUAAUUUCAAUCCUGAAUUUUUGUCUUAUUGUUUUAUUUAUUUUUACAUUAAUUUGCAGCUGAUCCACUUUAUUGUAGUGGAUCCAUGAGCUCCAAGAAAAUGGCUCUGUGAUCAAACUAACAAAAAAAAUGAUUUGUGAGUGAAACCUUCAAUAUAUUAAAUAAAAUCCGUAAUCAUACUAACAA